rnacentral:lncRNA from 1 species
UUUUUUUUUUUUUUGUCAGAAAGAUAAGAGAAUUCAUUAAUAGAGGCCUAAGGCUAAUAAGAGUACAAUCCAGAUAAAAUAGACUUGGAAAAAAAAGGCUGGUGGAAGCUUAAAAGUAAAGAACAUACGAGACCCAAAGCUCAUGCCAAAAAACCCUAGCAAACAAAGGAGACAAGAAGAACAAGAGUAGUGGCACCGAUGGGAUUGAUCCACCACCGAGAAAUGCCAAAAACAAAAGAUCCUCUAUCAGAACCUCCAACAACCAUCAUAGCUAAAGAAACUCAACCAAGCCAAAGACCACUAUCGUAGCUAUGGAUCUUAUUAAAGACUCAGCUUUAAGAAGGUAGUCUAAAAAGGUCAGCAAGUCUAUGCAAGCAGCGGUGGCUUCAAGACCUCAAGAUGCAACAUAUCUAACCAUUAAAGAACCACAAUCGUAGCCCAACCUCGAAACACACUUUUUGCAGCUCAAACUGACGGUGGAACAUAAAUUUCAAAUGAUAGAUCAAUGGAUAAUAUUCUCUUCUCACGCUCUAAUCAUGCCAACGAAAGUUAGAUCAAAGCAGUAAAGGCGGAGAACGAUAAAUGACUCAUUAGAACAUUGAUUCUCUAUAUAAAAAUAAACAUGCAUAUAAGAUACUUGUAUGUAUUAAGUUAAAGAAGAAAAAUACAGAAUACACAAUGAAAUGAAAAGAAACUAAAACAUAAGCAAAUCUCUAACAAAACCCUCUUGAUGAAACUUGGAUCUGCAAAUAAAAAGUUAGGAACAACUAUAUACACCCACCAAGAGGGAGAAGAGAGGAACCCAUGACUUCAAGUGGUAAGAGGAGUCAACUCUCCCCUCUCUUGAAAGAGUUAGAGGAUGACUGUUUGAAGAACUAUAUACACCCACCAAGAGAGAGAAGAGAGGAACCCAUGACUUCAAGUAGUAAGAGGAGUCAACUCCCCCUGAAAGAGUUACAUGAUGACCGAUUGAAGUAGCAGCAAAGGAGAUGUUAGAACCUCAAAUAAAAAAAAAAGAGAGUUAAGAGAAAACUCUCUCUAGACUAAUCUAGAGAGAGAAAGCUUUCUUUUCUAUUCAAAUGUGAG